CCUAGCAAUUCUGCAAGAAUAUUUUAUAAAAAGCUUAGCCAUUGUUAAUUUUUGCCUAAGUAAAUUCUAAGGAAUUUAAAGGGAUAAAACUUUUGUUACAGCUAAAUAAUUUUUUUUUAACAAUGAAAGGAUGACACCUGCAAGGUAGUUUUCUGAAUUUUUUCAAUCUUUUAAAAAUGCACUGGGUCCUUAUUAUAAGCAUGAAAGGUUUUUGGCUAACUGGAUUAUACAAAAUUCAGAAUAUGUGUAUCAUUCUACUAUUGGGAACAGAGGUUCACACUAACAGCNNGAAUCACUUCAUUUUUAUUGUAUUUUUCAGAGUAAAGACAAGAAGAAGGCGAGAGAUGAGCAGGUACAUGUUAAGGUGAGUGGUGGCUGAAUGACUAUUAUUAUAAAAAAUGGCAAAAAUUUUUUCUCCCACUACUGAUAACGUGCAAACAAAUUCAGCAGAGCUCUUGGAGACUGACAAGUAAGCAGAUGAUCAUUUAUUUUUCCUCUGGACAAUAUAGACCUCAAUAUGAAUCUCAAAAAAUUAGAGAUCAGAGUGCUCAAAACUUUUUCUAAAAAUCUGAAUUAGUCUCACUUGUUGAGAAUUAACCCAAAAUUUAAUAUUGUAUAUCAAUCACAAAAAAGAAAAAUGUAGCUUAAUGUUGACAUAAGUAGAAAAUUUUCAGAGAUUAUGUAAGCAACGCAGAUAUUUACUUGUAACAGAAGAAUUUUAAAUGUAGAUUACAGAUAGCUCAAGGUCAAUAUUUUAAAUUUAUAUUUGUAUUGUGAUUUCUCACAGAUCUUAGUCACUCAUUUUAGAUGUUUGACCACUGAUAUGAAAACAUUCUAGAAAUUAUUUAUAUUUGAGAUACUUUUUAUGUAUUUUAAACUCAUCCCUUGAAAGGAAGUGGAAGAAAGAAAUUACUAAAGGCAAGAGUUGAUUGUUGAAUGAACUUCUCAGAAACCAAUUUUCUUGAAGUAAAGCAGUAAACUAAUCCCAGAAAACAAAUGUCACAAAAUGGUCAUUCUUUACUGCCUGUUCAAUGUAAGAGUAAUUUAAUGAAAUUUUAAAUCAGAGAUUAAUGCAAGUAAAAAAAAGUCAGAGUUAAGAUUCCUAUAGGAAUCUUAAGUUAAGGUUCCUAUAUAGCAGCCUCUUCUACUUAUACAGUAGACUAUAAACUUGAAACACUGUAUUAGAGCAUCACAUGGUACCUCUUUAACAUGUAUAAUAUGUUUGAUUUUAUAUGUUGGUUAAAAUAAAUUUAAUUCAUAAAGAAAUGAGUAUAAUAUUUUGUGUAUGAAAAGUAAUGUAAACAGAUAAAUUCAGAUAACAUGGAGUUUUAGAACCAUAAAAUGCUUUGUUAAUAUUUAGAAAUAAUAAUUCUUUUUUUUGUUGUUUU
rnacentral:lncRNA from 1 species